UCAAAACAAAUGUUUAUCGUCUCAUAUAACCCCAGUUUAUAGGUACAACUUGAUAUUAUAAUUAUGCUCAGUGAUUAAAACACAUUUGAGAACAAAUACUUAGCUCAGAAGACGUAUUUUGUUGUAUAAUUUUACAUUGCUCUGUAAAAAUGUCUAUACAUUAUAAUAUUUUGUGUUCAGUGCUUGUCAUUGCCUUUGUAGUGCUGUGUAAUGCUGAUUAUGAUGCACAUGAGUGCAUUUACGACGAUAGUGGGUUAUGCAUCGAAGAUUGCCCUCCAGGCACAAUUUCAUACACGUCAGGGUGCGGAACAAAAGAAACGAUGUCCCAGCGCACUUGCCGUCGUCCCAUCGCGCGAUCCAUAGGCUUCAUAUGUGACCUGUCCCGGUGCGACUGUCCCGAUCCCAAGGUGUGGGACGAGACUAUUGAGAAAUGCGUUUUCUACAAAGAUUGCUCUUCGAAAAAUUUUUCUGGCAGGAAUCGUUUGUAGAUUAGCAGCACUGGUUAUUAAAGAGUGAUUAGAGAA